UACGUAGGUGACAAGCGUUGUCCGGAUUUACUGGGCGUAAAGAGCGCGCAGGCGGUCGAUCAAGUCGAGUGUGAAAGCCCCCGGCUCAACUGGGGAGGGUCACUCGAUACUGAUCGACUCGAAGGCAGAAGAGGGAAGCGGAAUUCCCGGUGUAGUGGUGAAAUGCGUAGAUAUCGGGAGGAACACCAGUGGCGAAGGCGGCUUUCUGGUCUGCUCUUGACGCUGAGGCGCGAAAGCUAGGGUAGCAAACGGG
rnacentral:rRNA from 1 species